AAAAAAAAAAAAAAAAGCAUUUUAAUCUUCAGCAAGGAAGACAGCUUAGAAACUUCCUGUUCUGUUCUGCUUUUCCCCAUCAUUGCUCCUCAGGAUGCCAACAACUGUCACGGAAGAGAAAGUUGAUGCAAUUGAAGAAUCAGGUAACAGGUGGCUAGGAACAACUUCAGGCAGAAAAAUAUCCAGGAAAUAUCCAGCAAACAAACUAACAAAGAAAAAAAAAAAACAAACAAC